AAAAAAAAAAAAAAAAAAAUAUUUUUAGGUUGUUUGUAUAUGCCCGAAUUGACUUGGAUAUUAACGAAAAUUUGGACGAUAAAGACCGUACUAAAAAAUACUCUUUUUGGUUCCUUGAUACCUCUCCCUUCGGGAUUAAAAUAAUAACUGCGAGAUAGAUGAAGGUAGUUAACAAAAAUUUGAUAACAUUGAACGCUAUAUCUGUCGACGUAGCAGAUAAUAACGAAUUGUCUGUCGAAAACAAGUUACGUUAUUAUUAACGUUUUGAAUCAUCUUCAGAGUAAACGUGAUUAUAUUAUAUUAUUUAUACACUUUUUAUCUAUUUAUUUACUUGUUUCGAUGAUUAACAGAUCGACGUCUAAUUUUGUACAUAACUUAUAACAACGUAAACUGAUUUAAAGGGACAUGCCCCAAAGAAAUAUAUAUGAUAUUUUAUGCAUCUAAUCAAAUAGUCUUAAUAUCUGAGUGUAGUAUCUUACCUAAAGUAUUUUCGAAGAAAGCUAUAAGUAUAGAUAAUUAACUCGCGGUGUGUAGCCUUAGGACAUGCGUUAAAUAAAUGAAUGUACCGAGCUACGCGAGAUGUGAACAUUUUGG